AGGUUAACCGUAUAGGGGAGCCGUAGGGAAACCGAGUCUUAACUGGGCGAAUGAGUUGCAGGGUAUAGACCCGAAACCCGGUGAUCUAUCCAUGGGCAGGUUGAAGGUUGGGUAACACUAACUGGAGGACCGAACCGACUAAUGUUGAAAAAUUAGCGGAUGACUUGUGGAUGGGGGUGAAAGGCCAAUCAAACCGGGAGAUAGCUGGUUCUCCCCGAAAGCUAUUUAGGUAGCGCCUCGUGAACUCAUCUUCGGGGGUAGAGCACUGUUUCGACUAGGGGGUCAUCCCGACUUACCAACUCGAUGCAAACUGCGAAUACCGAAGAAUGUUAUCACGGGAGACACACGGCGGGUGCUAACGUCCGUCGUGAAGAGGGAAACAACCCAGACCGCCAGCUAAGGUCCCAAAGUCAUGGUUAAGUGGGAAACGAAGUGGGAAGGCUCAGACAGCCAGGAUGUUGGCUUAGAAGCAGCCAUCAUUUAAAGAAAGCGUAAUAGCUCACUGGUCGAGUCGGCCCGCGCGGAAGAUGUAACGGGGCUAAACCAUGCACCGAAGCUGCGGCAGCGACACAAAGUGUUGUUGGGUAGGGGAGCGUUCUGUAAGCCUGCGAAGGUGUACUGUGAGGUAUGCUGGAGGUAUCAGAAGUGCGAAUGCUGACAUAAGUAACGAUAAUGCGGGUGAAAAACCCGCACGCCGGAAGACCAAGGGUUCCUGUCCAACGUUAAUCGGGGCAGGGUGAGUCGACCCCUAAGGCGAGGCUGAAAAGCGUAGUCGAUGGGAAACGGGUUAAUAUUCCCGUACUGGUGGUAACUGCGAUGGGGGAACGGAGAAGGCUAGGUUGUCCGGGCGACGGUCGUCCCGGUUCAAGCAGGUAGGCAGAGUGAUUAGGCAAAUCCGGUCACUUAAUGCUGAGAUGUGAUGACGAACCACUAAGGUGGUGAAGCAAUUGAUGCCCCGCUUCCAGGAAAAGCCUCUAAGCUUCAGGUUACCAACAAUCGUACCCCAAACCGACACAGGUGGUCAGGUAGAGAAUACUCAGGCGCUUGAGAGAACUCGGGUGAAGGAACUAGGCAAAAUGGUGCCGUAACUUCGGGAGAAGGCACGCUGGCGGUAGGUAAAGUCCCUCGCGGACAGAGCUGAAGCCAGUCGAAGAUACCAGCUGGCUGCAACUGUUUAUUAAAAACACAGCACUGUGCAAACACGAAAGUGGACGUAUACGGUGUGACGCCUGCCCGGUGCUGGAAGGUUAAUUGAUGGGGUNNNNNNNNNNGCGAAGCUCCUGAUCGAAGCCCCAGUAAACGGCGGCCGUAACUAUAACGGUCCUAAGGUAGCGAAAUUCCUUGUCGGGUAAGUUCCGACCUGCACGAAUGGCGUAAUGAUGGCCAGGCUGUCUCCACCCGAGACUCAGUGAAAUUGAACUCGCUGUGAAGAUGCAGUGUACCCGCGGCAAGACGGAAAGACCCCGUGAACCUUUACUAUAGCUUGACACUGAACAUUGAGCCUUGAUGUGUAGGAUAGGUGGGAGGCUUUGAAGUGUGGACGCCAGUCUGCAUGGAGCCAACCUUGAAAUACCACCCUUUAACGUUUGAUGUUCUAACCUAGGCCCAUAAACUGGGUCGGGGACCGUGUCUGGUGGGUAGUUUGACUGGGGCGGUCUCCUCCUAAAGAGUAACGGAGGAGCACGAAGGUUGGCUAAGCAUGGUCGGACAUCAUGCGGUUAGUGCAAAGGCAUAAGCCAGCUUGACUGCGAGAGUGACGGCUCGAGCAGGUACGAAAGUAGGUCUUAGUGAUCCGGUGGUUCUGAAUGGAAGGGCCAUCGCUCAACGGAUAAAAGGUACUCCGGGGAUAACAGGCUGAUACCGCCCAAGAGUUCAUAUCGACGGCGGUGUUUGGCACCUCGAUGUCGGCUCAUCACAUCCUGGGGCUGAAGUAGGUCCCAAGGGUAUGGCUGUUCGCCAUUUAAAGUGGUACGCGAGCUGGGUUUAGAACGUCGUGAGACAGUUCGGUCCCUAUCUGCCGUGGGCGUUGGAAGAUUGAGAGGGGUUGCUCCUAGUACGAGAGGACCGGAGUGAACGCACCACUGGUGUUCGGGUUGUCAUGCCAAUGGCAUUGCCCGGUAGCUAAGUGCGGAAGAGAUAACCGCUGAAAGCAUCUAAGCGGGAAACUUG
rnacentral:rRNA from 1 species